GACGAACGCUGGCGGCGUGCUUAACACAUGCAAGUCGAACGGAAAGGCCCUGCUUUUGUGGGGUGCUCGAGUGGCGAACGGGUGAGUAACACGUGAGUAACCUGCCCUUGACUUUGGGAUAACUUCAGGAAACUGGGGCUAAUACCGGAUAGGAGCUCCUGCUGCAUGGUGGGGGUUGGAAAGUUUCGGCGGUUGGGGAUGGACUCGCGGCUUAUCAGCUUGUUGGUGGGGUAGUGGCUUACCAAGGCUUUGACGGGUAGCCGGCCUGAGAGGGUGACCGGCCACAGUGGGACUUGAGAUACGGCCCAGACUCCUACGGGAGGCAGCAGUGGGGAAUAUUGCACAAUGGGCGGAAGCCUGAUGCAGCAACUCCGCGUGCGGGAUGACGGCCUUCGAGUUGUAAACCGCUUUCGCCUGUGACGAAGCGUGAGUGACGGUAAUGGGUAAAGAAGCACCGGCUAACUACGUG
rnacentral:rRNA from 1 species